UAACAUAUUCCUGUGAAGCAUGGCGACUCAUUCGAUUUCAGACUGGGGUGAGCUCCUGACUUCCACAAAGCGACUCCACAACAUGGACCGCAAUAGUACCCAUUACAGGUAUCACCUCCAACUCCUAUGCUCCUCAACCAUGUACUCGCAACAAGUACCAAAUCGGGAACAUAUGAGAAUGAACCCCAAUCCCCCAAUCCAAAAAUUGGGUUGUGUAAAGCUCACCCCCGUCAAAUAUCCCAAAACACCUUCUCCUGCUAGUUUUAACCCCACUCACGCCAAG
rnacentral:lncRNA from 1 species